rnacentral:lncRNA from 1 species
AUUCAAAAUUCACAACGUCUAACUUCUGAAUCCUAUGGUGUGUCUAAGCAUCAUAGUUGGGUGCAAACAUUGUUCCACUAAAUCAAUUAUGUUAUCGACUUUGAUAAUUUUAGGCUCCCUUAUUGUUUUAAAGAUGCUAUGUUACUCUAUUUAUCAGUUGCGAAAGAGAAGACAAUCGCGUAGAAAUCACUUGGGUUCUGAUACGACUAGGGAACUACAGUUGGAGCCACAACAAAACCUGCAACAAACUUAUUGGAGUUGAACUGACAAUUUGCUUGCCUUAAUUCUAUCUUGUUUAGUAGUUUUGCUUGUUCUUGCACUGUAUCUAUGUACUAGAGUUCUACAAUUUCUUCAAUCAAGAAUGUCACAAGGCUGACUAAAUAUGUUGAAGUGGUCAGGACAUAUAUUUUCACUAAUUUUUCUUUGACAUAAUACAUAAAUAUGCCCUUUAAUUUGAUAUCAAAUCACAUCUAUGAUCUCCAACUUUUGAUGUGCACGGGGGCGGAGCUAC